rnacentral:rRNA from 1 species
AGUGAACGCUGGCGGCGUGCUUAACACAUGCAAGUCGAACGAGAACGGAUUAUAGCUUGCUAUAAUUGUCAGCUAAGUGGCGCACGGGUGAGUAAUGUAUAGGUAAUAUGCCUCUUACUAAGGGAUAACAAAUGGAAACGUUUGCUAAUACCUUAUACUCCUUAUUAACAUAAGUUAAUAAGGGAAAGAUUUAUUGGUAAGAGAUUAGCCUGUAUUGUAUCAGUUAGUUGGUGGGGUAAUGGCUUACCAAGACUAUGACACAUAACUGGUUUGAGAGGAUGAUCAGUCACACUGGAACUGAGACACGGUCCAGACUCCUACGGGAGGCAGCAGUGGGGAAUAUUGCACAAUGGACGAAAGUCUGAUGCAGCAACGCCGCGUGGAGGAUGACACAUUUCGGUGCGUAAACUCCUUUUAUAUGAGAAGAUAAUGACGGUAUUAUAUGAAUAAGCACCGGCUAACUCCGUGCCAGCCGCCGCCGUAAUAC